UGUGUAGGCGGGCCGUUAAGUACCUUGUGAAAUCCCCCGGCUCAACUGGGGAAUGGCUGGGUAUACUGGCGGUCUUGAGCAGUCUAGGGGCAGAUGGAACAGACGGUGGAGCGGUGAAAUGCGUAGAUAUCGUCUGGAACGCCAAAGGUGAAGACAGUCUGCUGGGGACUUGCUGACGCUGAGACACGAAAGCCAGGGGAGCGAACGGGAUUAGAUACCCCGGUAGUCCUGGCCCUAAACGAUGUCGACUAGAUCGUGGUACCUCUGACGGUUUCACGGUCGUAGCAAAAGUGCUAAGUCGACCGCCUGGGAGGUACGGUCGCAAGGCUAAA
rnacentral:rRNA from 1 species